rnacentral:rRNA from 1 species
GACGAACGCUGGCGGCGUGCUUAACACAUGCAAGUCGAACGGAAAGGCCCUGCUUUUGUGGGGUGCUCGAGUGGCGAACGGGUGAGUAACACGUGAGUAACCUGCCCUUGACUUUGGGAUAACUUCAGGAAACUGGGGCUAAUACCGGAUAGGAGCUCCUGCUGCAUGGUGGGGGUUGGAAAGUUUCGGCGGUUGGGGAUGGACUCGCGGCUUAUCAGCUUGUUGGUGGGGUAGUGGCUUACCAAGGCUUUGACGGGUAGCCGGCCUGAGAGGGUGACCGGGCACAUUGGGACUGAGAUACGGCCCAGACGCGUACGGGAGGCAGCAGUGGGGAAUAUUGCACAAUGGGCGGAAGCCUGAUGCAGAAACGCCGCGUGCGGGAUGACGGCCUUCGGGUUGUAAACCGCUUUCGCAUGUGACGAAGCGUGAGUGACGGUAAUGGGUAAAGAAGCACCGGCUAACUACGUG